GGGGGCGACCUGGCUUCGACGUGGGUCGUGAAACCUGAGGUGCAUGCCGAGGAUACAGCUAACCUCGUCAAAAUGCUGUAACGCUAUAGUUGCCAACGACGACAACUACGCUCUGGCCGCCUAAAAACCGGUCAGCCUCUGACGGGAUUUGCUUGUAGGUUCUACUCAGAGGUCAUCGCAUACAAGCUCGUGGAGCGGACCUGCCCGGGUCUUAACCACUAAAACCGAUCGGGCUCGCGCUGCGGUAUCCUGUUCGUCGGAGACCAAGGCGUUAACCUAAAAGACGAACUAAGCAUGUAGUACCAAGGGCGUAGGGCUUGCGGACGCGGGUUCGAUUCCCGCCGCCUCCACCA
rfam:Ectothiorhodospira sp. PHS-1 contig009, whole genome shotgun sequence.